AACUCCGUUGUUGUGAUGAAGUCCUUAGGACUAUUUAGGUUCGAUAAAGAGAGGAUUUAUCGAUUAGUCCUUAAAACUAUUCAUGAUCAAAUGAUAGGCUGUUAAUAAGAACGAUAGCUUCUAUCGAGCAUAGGUUGCUGUAGGCUAUAUGGGUUGGUUGUCCUCUUAAUCAAGGAGUGUGGAGACACUGAUAUGGCAUACCGGUG
rnacentral:lncRNA from 1 species